rnacentral:tRNA from 1 species
GGUGAGGUAACUCAACGGAUAGAGUUUGUUAGCUAACUUUGCAUACCAUGGACUUGCAGUAGUGGGUUCGACUCCCACCCUCACCA